rnacentral:rRNA from 1 species
AUUGAACGCUGGCGGCAGGCUUAACACAUGCAAGUCGAGCGGGGUGAUGGUGCUUGCACUAUCACUUAGCGGCGGACGGGCGAGUAAUGCUUAGGAAUCUGCCUAUUAGUGGGGGACAACAUCUCGAAAGGGAUGCUAAUACCGCAUACGUCCUACGGGAGAAAGCAGGGGAUCACUUGUGACCUUGCGCUAAUAGAUGAGCCUAAGUCGGAUUAGCUAGUUGGUGGGGUAAAGGCCUACCAAGGCGACGAUCUGUAGCGGGUCUGAGAGGAUGAUCCGCCACACUGGGACUGAGACACGGCCCAGACUCCUACGGGAGGUAGCAGUGGGGAAUAUUGGACAAUGGGGGGAACCCUGAUCCAGCCAUGCCGCGUGUGUGAAGAAGGCCUUAUGGUUGUAAAGUACUUUAAGCGAGGAGGAGGCUCUUUUGGUUAAUACCCAAGAUGAGUGGACGUUACUCGCAGAAUAAGCACCGGCUAACUCUGUGCCAGCCGCCGCGGUAA